rnacentral:lncRNA from 1 species
CAAGAGGCCAGUGGCACGCCCUUCGGUUCCUUCGUCUUCCUAAACUCUCUGUGGUGUCUGAGGAAUGCUGCCCACGUCUUCAGUCUCUGCAAGUUCUCUCCACCCUCUUUCUCUGGGGGAUGGCCCCCUCCCCAGGUGCCCUUCCUAACCUCAGACCCUUCUGUCUCACUUUCCUCUGCGGCUUCUCCUCCUGACCACUUCUCAAAGGGUUCUGUUCUCGAAGGCACGGUCUUCAGGGAACAGGAACGCCUCGGGUCUCAGAGCAAGGUCAUGUGCUCCUACGAUUCGACUCGCCCCCGGAUGCCCAGGGCUUCUGAGUGCGUACGACUGACGUCACCCUGCCCCUGACUCCACGCUGCUUUCUCUAACUGUCUGCUGGACGCACCUCUCAGGAUGUCCAAAGGCUUCUCAAAACCGACACGUCCAAAAGGGAGCCCGAACAACAGGAAGACGGCAGAUCAGAGAGCAGCUUGAUGGCAACCCCCCGGCCCCCGCCCCGACCGAACAUCGUGCAGAGGCUUGGACCAGCUGAAAUGACGGAUCGCCCACUUUCUGCGUCAGGGACGGAGAUCCUCGGCGUGCAACAUGUCGAACCCCACUGACUUCGCACUUGUGACCCACGAAGAAAUACGAGCGACAGUCGCACCUGAGUAGAGGACUCUUCAAGCUUCACUCCCAGCACUCUCCUGAUCCUACCCCUUCCCUCUGGAGGCAAUAUAGUCCUUGUCUACAAAUAUUACUUAAGGCCAUCUAUGCUGUGACCUACAAAUUAGCCCAGCUUCAGCGGGGACCCCCUCCAGCAAAAGACUCUAGAAGCUGUCCUAAUUAAAAUCAACAAGCCAUCCCACUAGAGCCCUCAGAGACUCCUCUGGUGAAGAGGCUUCGGCAACCUCCUCUCAUGCUUCCUGGAAAACCCAGAACGUGGAACAACAGGAAGACGGCAGAUCAGAGAGCAGCUUGAUGGCAACCCCCGGCCCCCGCACGACUGGACAUCGUGCAGACGCUUGGACCAGCUGAAAUGACAGAUCGCCAACUUUCCGCGUCACAGACAGAUCCACGGCAUGCAACACGUCGAACUCCACUGACUUCGCACUUGUGACCCACGAAGAAAAAACAAAACGAACGACAGUCGCACCUAAGCAGAGGACUCUUCAAGCUUCACCCCCAGUGCUCUCCUGGUCCCACCCCUACCCGAAACCGAAACCACAGCUAAAAACCCCAGCAUUUUUCCUUUGAGUUUUGCGUAGCUACUCUCACCUCCUUGUCUGGCUGCCUCUUGAUCAUAAACCUCUUUCCUU